rnacentral:rRNA from 1 species
UACGUAGGGUGCAAGCGUUGUCCGGAAUUAUUGGGCGUAAAGAGCUCGUAGGCGGUUUGUCGCGUCGACUGUGAAAACCCGAGGCUCAACCUCGGGCCUGCAGUGGGUACGGGCAGACUAGAGUGCGGUAGGGGAGAUUGGAAUUCCUGGUGUAGCGGUGGAAUGCGCAGAUAUCAGGAGGAACACCGGUGGCGAAGGCGGGUCUCUGGGCAACAACUGACGCUGAGGAGCGAAAGCUAGGGGAGCAAACGGG